AGAUAUGCCAAAGAGAAGCCAUGAAGUGCAUCUUUUAAAUUAAAAGGUGAAAGUUCUCAACUGAAUUAAGGAAAGAAAAAAAUCAUAUGCUGAGGUUGCUAAGAUCUAUGGCAAGAAUGAAUCUUCUAUCUGUGAAACUGUGAAGAAGGAAAAUGAAAUUUAUGCUAGUUCUGCUGCAUAUAUAGGGUUCAGUAUUAUCUGCAGUUUCAGCCUACCUAUUCUCCCAGAGGGCAUGCAUUCUAUGGAGACAGAGCUGAAUGUGUGCCAUCAGAAGACCAAAAUCAAGCGACAUUUUAAAAAGAAAACAGACUCUUCUGGGAAAAAUGGUGACUCCACAAAGUAAGAAGCCACCAAGACUUGUAGGACAUUCCUUCAUCUUCUCCUGGAUGGGGCAACCCAGCCAUGGAUAUAUGCCUCCAAUCAGCAUAAAUGCCCAUUGCUUGAUAAAGUCAACACACGUGUAAGAUGACAUAUUGCAGGUAUCUGUCACAUCAAGCAAGGUUUGAAGAAGAAACAACUGGAGAAUUUUACUUAUGUGGAUGAAAAAGCAAACAGAAGUUAGUCCAGCAUGGAAGUCACAUGCUUUGGGAUUGUAGCAUUGUGUUCUCCUGUAGGAGGUGAUCCAUUGUCAUUUAUCGGAAUCCAUCUUCACUCAAAAGGA
rnacentral:lncRNA from 1 species